AUUGAACGCUGGCGGCAUGCUUUACACAUGCCAGUCGAACGGUAACAGGCCUUCGGGUGCUGACGAGUGGCGAACGGGUGAGUAAUGCAUCGGAACGUACCCAGAGGUGGGGGAUAACGCAGCGAAAGCUGUGCUAAUACCGCAUGUGAUCUGAGGAUGAAAGCGGGGGACCGAGCAGCAAUGUUUGGCCUCGCGCCUUUGGAGCGGCCGAUGUCGGAUUAGCUAGUUGGUGGGGUAAAGGCCUACCAAGGCGACGAUCCGUAGCUGGUCUGAGAGGACGAUCAGCCACACUGGGACUGAGACACGGCCCAGACUCCUACGGGAGGCAGCAGUGGGGAAUUUUGGACAAUGGGCGCAAGCCUGAUCCAGCAAUGCCGCGUGCGGGAAGAAGGCCUUCGGGUUGUAAACCGCUUUUGGCAGGAACGAAACGGUGUCCGCUAAUACCGGGCGCUAAUGACGGUACCUGCAGAAUAAGCACCGGCUAACUACGUG
rnacentral:rRNA from 1 species